UACGUAGGGUGCGAGCGUUGUCCGGAAUUAUUGGGCGUAAAGAGCUUGUAGGCGGUCUGUCGCGUCUGCUGUGAAAAUCCGGGGCUCAACCUCGGACUUGCAGUGGGUACGGGCAGACUAGAGGUGUGGUAGGGGAGACUGGAAUUCCUGGUGUAGCGGUGAAAUGCGCAGAUAUCAGGAGGAACACCGAGUGGCGAAAGGCAGGUCUCUGGGC
rnacentral:rRNA from 1 species